UUCCGGUUGAUCCUGCCGGACCUGACUGCUAUCGGAUUGAUACUAAGCCAUGUGAGUCAUUGUAGCAAUACAAGGCAGACGGCUCAGUAACACGUAGCCAAUCUAACCUAUGGACGGGGAUAACCUCGGGAAACUGAGGGUAAACCCCGAUAGAUCAUUAUACCUGGAACGGUUUAUGGUCCAAAUGAUUCGUCGCCGUAGGAUGAGACUGCGGCCUAUCAGCUUGUUGGUGAGGUAAUGGCCCACCAAGGCUAUUACAGGUACGGGCUCUGAGAGGAGAAGCCCGGAGAUGGGUACUGAGACACGGACCCAGGCCCUAUGGGGCGCAGCAGGCGAGAAAACUUUGCAAUGUGCGCAAGCACGACAAGGUUAAUCCGAGUGUUUCCUGCUUAAGGAAUCUUUUGUUAGUUGUAAAACCACUAUCGAAUAAGGGGUGGGCAAGUUCUGGUGUCAGCCGCCGCGGUAAAACCAGCACCUCAAGUGGUCAGGAGGAUUAUUGGGCCUAAAGCAUCCGUAGCCUGUUCUAUAAGUUUCCGGUUAAAUCCAUUAGCUCAACUAAUGGGCUGCCGAAAAUACUGUAGAACUAGGGAGUGGGAGAGGUAGACGGUAUUCGGUAGGAAGGGGUAAAAUCCUUUGAUCUAUUGAGGACCACCUGUGGCGAAGGCGGUCUACCGGAACACGUUCGACGGUGAGGGAUGAAAGCUGGGGGAGCAAACCGGAUUAGAUACCCGGGUAGUCCCAGCUGUAAACGAUGCAGACUCGGUGAUGCGCUGGCUUGUGGCCAGUGCAGUGCCGCAGGGAAGCCGUUAAGUUUGCCGCCUGGGAAGUACGUACGCAAGUAUGAAACUUAAAGGAAUUGGCGGGGGAGCACCACAAGGGGUGAAGCCUGCGGUUCAUUGAGUCAACGCCGA
rnacentral:rRNA from 1 species